GACGAACGCUGGCGGCGUGCCUAAUACAUGCAAGUAGAACGCACAGUUUAUACCGUAGCUUGCUACACCAUAGACUGUGAGUUGCGAACGGGUGAGUAACGCGUAGGUAACCUGCCUGGUAGCGGGGGAUAACUAUUGGAAACGAUAGCUAAUACCGCAUAAUAUUGAUUAUCGCAUGAUAAUUGAUUGAAAGAUGCUAUUGCAUCACUACCAGAUGGACCUGCGUUGUAUUAGCUAGUAGGUGAGGUAACGGCUCACCCAGGCGACGAUACAUAGCCGACAUGUUACGUCUAUCGGCUACACUGAGCCUGAGACACGCCCCCCACCCCCCCGGGAGGCAGCAGAAGGGAAUCUUCGGAGAAGGACCAGAGUCUGAGCAAGCGACACACACGUAGAGAAGAAGGUUUUCACAUCGUAAAGACUGGUUGUUAGCGAAGAACGCGUUGUAGCUUGGAAAGGCCACACUGUGACGGUACCUCACCAGAAAUGGACGGCUAACUACGUG
rnacentral:rRNA from 1 species